rnacentral:tRNA from 1 species
AGCAGGGUAGCCUAGUGGUUAGAGUAUUGGGCUAGUAACCGAAAGGUUGCAAGUUCAAAUCCCUGUGCUG